UAGUCAGGCUGGAUACUAUACUAGGUUGAGCCAGUGGCGAACGGGUGCGUAACACGUGAGUCAUCUGCCUGAAAGUGGGGGAUAGCUCGCCGAAAGGCGAAUUAAUACCGCAUGUGCCCCGAAGCAAUUCGGGGUAAAGCCGGGGCAACCUGGCGCUUUUAGAUGAGCUCGCGGCCUAUCAGCUUGUUGGUAAGGUAACGGCUUACCAAGGCUUCGACGGGUAGCUGGUCUGAGAGGACGACCAGCCACACUGGAACUGAGACACGGUCCAGACACCUACGGGUGGCAGCAGUCGAGAAUUUUUCUCAAUGGGGGAAACCCUGAAGGAGCGACGCCGCGUGGAGGAUGAAGGCUUUCGGGUUGUAAACUCCUGUCAUUUGGGAACAAUACCUUACGUUAACUGCGUGGAGGUUUGAUAGUACCAGAAGAGGAAGAGACGGCUAACUCUGUGCCAGCAGCCGCGGUAAUACAGAGGUCUCGAGCGUUGUUCGGAUUCAUUGGGCGUAAAGGGCGCGUAGGCUGCGGGGCAAGUCGGGUGUGAAAUCUCAGAGCUCAACUCUGAACUGCACUCGAUACUGCUUUGCUAGAGGACUGGAGAGGAGAUUGGAAUUCUCGGUGUAGCA
rnacentral:rRNA from 1 species